UAUCUAUUAACUUUUUUUCUAAUCACAAAUGGGAAAGCACCUAGAAAUUGCUCAAUGGUAAAGACUUUGAUACUUUAGUUUCCUGGGAAACCCUCCUCUCUUUCUCUCUCUGGACUAUUUAGAAGAAUAUGAAUAAUAAUCUCUUUAAUAAUGUGUCCAACCAUUCUUCUUUCUUCCAAGCUUAUUCAGACGCAGUUGAAUUCAUGUAGCUUCAAAGUAGCACGCCCAAACCUUCUACCCUAUCCAUUAGUAUAGGUUGGGAACCUCCAUAUUUAGGUUCCUAUAAGCUUAAUACGGAUGGCUUUUGCUUUGGGAAUCUAGAAAAUAGGGUAUAGGGGGAGUUUUUAUAGAUCACUCUAGGAACUAGAUAUCUGGCUUUAAUAAUUAUUUUGUCAGGGCUACUACCACUUUAAUGGAAAUCCUUGUUCUCAAAGAAAGACUUAAUCAAGCCCUCCGCAAUAAACUCAAACCUCUGGAGAUCAAAAUUGACUCCAAAGAGGUAGUUAGAAUCCUGCAUAAAUGAAACUCACACUAUGAUGUUAUUUUAGAUAAAUGCAGGUUGAUGUUAGGAGAACUAGGAAGAGCAGCAGUGUACCACUGCUAUAGAGAGCAAAAUUAAGUGGCGAAUAUUUUGGCAAAGCAAGCUACAGCUAAGGAGAACCCAAACAAACUACAAAUUUUUAUAGUUCCACUAAUGUAUACCCAAGAUCAAGUAUGGGAAGACAUCAAUGGAACUAAGCAUAAUAGGUUAGUUAAUACAAGCAACACUCAACUGGGGAAUAACCCCUCAUCUUUUGUGGUUGAGCUAGACUAAUUUCAUUGCAUUGUAAUAUUGCAACUGCUACUUAUUAUUUUCCUUAAUGAAACCUCGUUUACCAAUAAAAAUAUAUAUAUAUAUAUAUAUAUUAAUACCUUAAACUUUUAGGCUAAGACUUGGACCACUUUACGUAUGUAAUUAGACCUAAAUCUGGUGAAUUUAAUUGUAUGUAGGUGUAAAGGCCAGUUAAGUGUUCGAAAGAUACUAAAUAUAAAUUAAGUUCAUAAGGAACCUCUACCAUAAAGUUAGGUUGCAAUUUUAUUUAUUGAUUAAGUUUUCAUGUAAGUUUUACUAGGCUCAACUUCAAACUAAAAUUCUUUCUAGAAUAUGAAGAGUUACGUGGGCCAUUAUCUAUCAAAAUUAAGGUCUUUGAGUCUACUUUCCAAUGUCACCACCGCUUGUCAAUAGGGAUUUCGAGUAGUAAGUUAUGAGCAUUUUACUGAGGGCGGUGAGGACAAACAACCUCUCUGAAGCUUCAUUCUCAAGGAAGCACGGAGGUCAUAGACCUGAUUUGCGGGGCUAUAGGCAAGGUGAUUCCCUGGCCUCUACAGUUAGUGCAUUUAAUCCAUUUAAGAGUAUUUUCAUCCUCAGACUUUUGAGUACUUAUUAUAUAUAUAUUCUAAAACCCUUUUUGACAGAUGAUAACACUUAGAAGCUUAUGUUUUUAAUUUCUCUCCUCCCUCCCUAACCUAAACUACAAGGAUUUUAAGAAAACUACACUCAAGAUUUAAGAAGGAGCAAUCUAUCAAGUUUCUUAUCCAUGUUGUAGCAUCUUCUAUUAACUAAGGUACACAAGGCUAACCUUCACGUGUGGAACCCUAGUUCUUCCCCACGAAUAUAUUCUUGUGAUUCUAGUUUCUUCUUUGAGUCAGAAUCCUUAAGUCUUAGUUUGUUUUAACUCUUGAUCAAAGCACAUGAAUUUUCCAUAAAAGUAUUUGAAUUUUAAAUAAGCCCCAAUCUCAUGUUUAUUAAUCUACUUUAUGAUUUUUAUAGAUUAUUUAUGAAUUUUGAAAGUAAUUAUGGAAAGUAUGUGUUUUGUCUAAAAAACUUAACUCGAAGAUUUUCAUAUGAAUUGAGCGCAAGGUGCACUAGCAUGAUUUUCAUAUGAUUUGGAGCGCAAGGCUUAUUAGCGUGAUUCUGAUAUGAUUUUUAGUUUAUUUUUAAAUAUUAAAAUAUAAGCAUAUAGUAUAUUUUGCGAGGAUAUUAUUAAUCAAAAAGGUCUGAAGUUCAGAUAAUAAAGUAACUAAAACAACAUGUGCCAGUAUAAAAUAAGAUCGCAUCACUGGUUCGAAGGAAUGGUUUUUAAGCCCAUGAUAAGCACAUAGAAUGAAUCCACAGAGUCAAAAUACCCUAUGCUUUGGCAAGUCAUAGGACGGCUUCCUAAUCAAGCAAUAUCUGGACAUGUCAUGACUCGAGACUAUCACCUAGUUGUAACACGUUGCUUAGAGUCACAAGUGAUCUCAAGAUAACUCAUGACUUGGCAUAACACAAAAAUACUGAAAUAAUGAGUGAAAACUAAAAUUAAAUGACAUAAUAAUAAGAAAAGAAAUAUCAAUAUGAAUGUACUGUUUGACAUAUUUAAUAUGCUAAAAAUAUAAUCGUUUGUUUGAAAGCUGCUUAAUAUGACGCAUUGCUGGGACAAGUCUUCCACUAACUCUAACUGUCUAAAACUGAAAUAAUAGCAUAAUAACAGUACUGAAAGCUCAUCCUCGGAUGAUGAAGACUUACCAAACUCUACUAUUUAUAUAGGUAUAUAAUUUGUUAACCACGAAUUGUAUGCUAAACCUCUGAACCUAUAUUAUAAAAUAAUAUAACACAAAGAAUAUAUGCAGUCAGUACUUUGAAUGUACUGAGCUUGUGGGAUAUGCAAUAUGUUAUAUGAACGGAAUAUGCUAAAGAUGACAUAUAAACUGAACAUUGAGCUGGAAUAUGUAAACUGACACAAUGAUCAUGUAAUGAGCAUGCAACUAUAUAAUAUAUUGGAUAAAUUGAAUAUGAGGUCAUACAAGGUUUGAGUCUGAACUAUGGGAGCUACUGUUAAUCGACAAAUACCCCAAUCUAUGAUAACUGGGGUCCAACCUAUAACCCUAGAUGGAAGGGUAUUAUGUACCUUGUCACGGGUAUGAAUACUGACUGACGUGGAUCUACUAAACUCAUAUAAAAAAGGACUAAGGUGUCAAGUCUGGUAUGAUGGUGACCCUUUAGAACCUAUGGUGGCGCUGUAGUUUUGGGACUUUGGGCCUUCUACUAAAGGUCUCAGCCUAACUGAGGGAUGAGCAUUUAUUCCUAUGUCCACUAGGUGCUAAGUACUACUCCCAAUCCAACAACAAUUGAUAACUGUUUUGUUCAUUAAAAUGAAGAACUGAUAAGCUCAAAAUGAUGAUAUUUGAGGUUGAUAGUAGACAUUUUAUCUUGAAAGCAUCCUAUAUCAUGUAAUUAUAAAGGACCAAGUAUUCAUUAACAUAUGCAUAAAAUCCUAGGUCAUUGGGUGUUCAUAACCUGCCAUCUUUAAAAAAUGCAACUACUCAUGAUAAUUCCCAUAAACUGAAUAACUUAAUGGAUUUUGUAACUCAAGUUCAAAAUUAUGAGUUAAAUGAUAUACCGAGGAUUCACAAUUAUAAAAAUCUAAUGAUAUUGAAAUUUAUCGGGAAACAUGGGUUCAUGACUCAAUUAUAACAAUGGACUGAAAUAUAAAGAAAUUCAUGACAUUCAUGAACCCUAGGCUCUAAGGAAAGAAUUAAAUUAAGGUAUUUAGUUUACUUCAAGACUCUGUAACGACCUUAAAAUUUGAUAAAACUUUUUAUUUUAUAUGAUUUGACUGUUUUAUCCCUCCUCGUAGUUGCAUUAUGGUAUUUUUGGGGUGUGGGUGUGAUUGUUAUGGUUUUUGAAGCAUUUUGGUACCAUUUAUGCAAUAUUGUGGUUUUUGAUGGCUUCGAGAGCCUUUGUUUGGACUUAUGUGGAUAUCUUUUGAUCUAUGUGAUGGAUGACCAAACAGACUACGUUAGCAGCUUUGGCAUAUCAAUUUUAGGCUAGGUAAACCUUUGGUUUGAGUCCCCAUGCACCCGAUCUCAUUUCAACCUAUUGACCAAAAAGUUGAAAAAUUAAAAAUAUGGGUAUGGGACCCACAUUUCGUCGAAACGACCUCGAAUGGAAAAUCUGACCUUUCUAGUAUAUAGGAAAUAUCGAUUUUAAUAUGGUAAUAUAUUUGGUGUGAUUUUACGGUUUUUAAAUCUCAUUUCGUCCUUUGGUUUGAAAAAUUACAAUUUCGAGUUUCGAGGGUCAAUUUUUUUAAAACAAUAUUUUUUUCAAAAAUCCGACCUUGUCAACACAUAUUAACGUCGAAUUUAGUAUGGUUGUAUAGUUUUUUUGAAUAUAUCAGACUCCGAAUGAAUCUCGAAUACCCCAUCAAACGGGUUGGACUUUAAAAAACAGCUUUUUCAGCUGGUGUAGUAUAUAAAAAUAGUUUUUUUGGCCCAUUUUGUCCAUUCUUUCACCUUACCUCUUGGGAGUUAAACCUUAAAAUAAUGUGGGAACUUAAAAGUAAAGUUUGUGGGAGCUUGAAAAGCUAGAUUAACAUCUAUUUCUUAGUUUCAUUACUGAUUAAGGUAAGAAUUUACCUUUUUCUUAUUAAUUUUUUUAUUAAUUCUCAAACCCCCAAAAAUCUUAGUGCUUGAUUUUUAAACUCCAAUUUCAUUCCUUUUCACUUGAAUAAUAUUUUUAUCUUAUAAUUGUUGGUUUUUCAUCAAUUUAACCAUCAAAAUAACUUCGAUCCUUGAUUUUAACUCAAAUUUCAAAGAUUUUACCCGGUAAAGCUCAAAAAUAGUUUUUCUUCAAUUUGAACCUCAUUUUCGACUCGAUUUAACUUGGGUUUUUAGAUAUAGGUUCCUAAAAAUAUGGGAAAAAUACUUUUAAAGUGAAUUUUUAAUCUUUCUUUUUUUCUGAAAACCCGUUCUGUGGGUUCGUUUUGACCCUGAAUCAAAAGUCGUCAAUAUAGGUGUCGUUGAUUUUAUUUUAACACGUAGAUUAUAUAUUUGAUAUUUUUAAUAUAUUUGGAAUUGUUAAUGAAAAGUAAGGUCGUGGGUUCACAGUGUAGCGAACCGAUUUUGACUUUUGAGGUAGGUUAUGACUUAACUCUUUUAAACUGAGCUGGGUAGCAAAAGAUGAUACAAAAUGCAUGUUAAGGGUGGUAAAUAAUCAUAGAAAAUAGCUAUCUAUGUUUUGGGCUCAUGUGGGGGCUUAUAUGUGAUGUAAUUGUCAAAAUUAAGAUAUUAUGUGAUGUGUGUGACAGUGUGGAGUUCUAUGCGGUGUUGAUAGCCCUGAAUAGAUGCGAAUAAUUGUAUUGUGUUGUUGAAAUGACUAAUAUGGUAUCAUUGGUGUAUUGUAAUAUAUUCAUACUUGUUGGUAUAUGAUACGUGUGGAAAUUCAUGAUGAAACAGAAAUAAUGAGUGGAUAUUGACUCACAUGAUUAUGGAAAUAUAUCAUUGUGGUUGGUGAUGAAAAUAUAUCAUGUGGUUGACUGUGGAAAUACUCAUUGUGAUUGGUUGUGAGCAUUACAUCCUUAUAUCAUACUCAUUCAUGAAAUAUUUGUACCAUUGUGGCAACACCUAAGUAACACUGAAAACACCUUUUAAAAAUCCUUCCCAAGGGAUGUGCUGGGAAGGAGAUAUUGUAACACCUUAUAAAACCCUUUCUGAGGGAUGUGCUGGAAAGAAGCUAUGAGAUAUGUGGAUUGUAUACAAGUUGACAAACCCCCCAUGGGUCCUACAUCGGGAAUCCUUAGCUCCGUAGGUAUAUAUGGGGAUUGUGCGACGAUCUUAGAGGUUGUGCAGUGACCUCGUGCAUCAUCAUCAUUAUCUUCAUAUAUGUUGUACUUACUAUAUUGUGUUUAUAUUAUGUUUUAUUAUCAUAUUGACUUGAAAUAUAUGUAAUUGUCUUAUCUUUUUUUACUUGUAUUUGAUGAUCUUGUAUAUGCAUGUUCCCCCUUAUUCCACUUAUAGGUGAUACAUACUCGUAUUCUAUCUUGGUGUGUAUAUGAUAUAUUAGAACUGUUACUGCAAGCAGUAAGGGCUACCGUAGUGGGACAUUUUCUGAUUGCAGGGAACGUGCUCUUAGUAUAUUUUGUAUGCUUUAUUUACUACUUUGCUUGGUCAGACUAUGAUACCUACUGAAUACAAGUAGACCAUACUCAUGCCUACUAUGCCCUUUUGAUGCAGGUCCUAGCUUGAGUGUGCCUUAGCUUUCUUGACUUGGGUGAUUAUUGGAGCUUUUAAUGUAGCGGUUGGACAUUUAUGCGUUCGUAGUUCACCUCUAUCUUUCUAUUAAUGUCUUUAUUAGUAUUCUAAGAUAGAUAUUAUUCCCUUGUGGUUAUGUUUUGAUGUAUUUGACUCCUGGACUAUAAUAGUAGUUCUUACACUAUUGACACCUGGUUUUGGGCAUGAUUGUUAUUUUGGAUAAGUACUUUCUACAUUAUUAUGAUUACUUAUAGGGUUUGGCUUCGUUCUGGAAGCCUCACCUUGGGAUAUUUCUAUCUUUUCCUCUUUUUGUAUUAGUUGGGUGAUAGGCUUACUUCUCAAGGUACGCUUUGACAAGUGCCAUCAUGACCCUCAUUUGUAGGUUAUAACAGACUCAAUGGGCGGAAGGAAAUCCAUAGAUAAAAUCCCACAUAACUUGAGAUAGAAACCUUGAUGAAACCUUUGAAUUUGGAGUCUUAAGUUGAAGAACCCUCAAUUUGCCUUGGGAGAAGAAAAUCGUCUCUUUCUUUGUCUUCUCUCUAUGUGUUGACUAAAUUUUGAGUUAAUGCAUGACUUGGGGCAUUUUAGUCUUAUACUUUAGUCUUAGAAUAGCUUAAGCAACAAGUUUUGGUGUUAAAAGGUUGGGAAAAGACUAAACAACCCCUUUGAAAAUGUUAUAAUAGUGCAAAAUAGUUUCGGCUGACGGUUUAGGUAAUAGACCAUCAAAAUGAAUAAUCAUAAAUUGAACUAUCACAAAAUGACCAAAUUUUGGUCUUAGUGUUUAAGACUUAUGGCUUGCACUAAUGGUUCAUCACAGGUGUGGCGGUUCGUCUCCCAAGCCAUCGCACUCUGGCAAACAGACAUCCUAUGGUAAAUUAAGCAUAACAUUUUACUUCGGUAUCAGAUUAAUGAAUGAUUAGUGGCAUUGGAAAGAAGACUCAAAGAAAAUUCUUUUGGUGGGUAUUUAUCCGUAAAACUACUAAUGUGCUAGGACUUAUUAUAAUUUGACUCUGACUAUAGAAAGAUUCUUCAUAAGAACUUAAUCGAUAAGGAAGGUUUCUACUUGGCUAUGAGCUAGGGACUACUUGCUGCCUUAAUACUUAUCUAAAUCACUUCUCAUACUAGCAAAACAUGAUGUUUGGUUCUAUAUGUAGUUGAAUUAUGACUUUAAUCUUAGCUUGAACUUUGGGAUGUUACAAUAUCUCCCACUUGGGGUUAUUCGUACCUAAAUAAAAACUAACUAAGCUGAAAGGUUAGGGAAUGAGAUGAGAUCCCAAUACCGAAUUUCUAAGUGAUGAAUACUGACAUGAAAACUGAGUUUAUAACUAAAACAUGGACUAAACUAAACUUGUGAAUGCAUGCUUUGACAAGAGAGUUACUGAUCGGUAUAAGGUGGAAAUAAUUAAGUAACAGAAAAUUAUUGCCUCAAGUUAGAACCGAGUUCAAAGAGAAAAGAUGGGGGUACUUGGUCAUCAUAUCCGCAUCUUCUUUUCAAGUAGCUCCCUCAAUUAAAUGAUUCUACCAAAGAACUUUUACCAAACCGAACUUCUUAUUACUCAACUUACAAACCUGACGAUCAAUAAUAUCAAUUGGGACCUCCUCGUUAGAGAGAUAUCAUUCACACCCACACUAUCUAUAGGCACACUUAAUGUUAGAUCACCAAUUAAUUUCUUCAACAAAGACACAUGAAAAAUCGAAUGCCUUGAUGCUAAGUCUGCAGGUAAAUCUAACUCAUAGACUACAUUGCUAAAGCGAUCCAUAAUCUUAUAAGGACCAAUGUAGCAGGGACUGAAUUUUCCUUUCUUGCUAAGUUUUACCCCUUUAUGGGUGAAACUUUCAAGUAUACAAAAUCGCCAUUAACAAAUUCAAGCUCCCCUCUCCUAACAUCUGCAUAGGACUUCUAAUGACUUUGGGAUUUUUUGUGCCUUUCUCUAAUCAAUUGAACUUUCUCCAUAGCCUCAUGAACUAAAUCUAGAUCUAUCAAAGUAGCUUCACCAACCUCAAACUAACCAAUAGGAUAUUUACACCUUUUACCAUAAAGUGCUUCAAACAGGGUCAUCUGAAUACUAGAGUGAUAACUAUUAUUAUAGAAAAACUUAAUCAAAGGAAAAUGGUCAUCCCAACUACCCUUGAAGUCAAUCACGUGUGUUCUGAACAUGUCCUCUAAAGUCUAAAUGGUCCACUCUUCCUGACCAUCUAUCUGCAGAUAAAAAGUUGUACUAAGACGAACUUGAGUACCAGACCCUUCUAAAAAGUCUUCCAGAAUUGGGAGGUAAACUGAGCACCCCUAUAUGAAAUAAUUGUCAAAGGGACUCAAUGAAUUUUUACCAACUCUAUAAGAUAGAGUCUUUUAUAAUCCUCAAUUGAAUCUAAAGUGUUAACUGGCAGGAAAUGGAUGGCUUAGUCAUUCGGUCUACAAUAACCCAAAUAAAAUAAUAUGUCGACGAGUACGAGGCAACCCUAUAAUGAAGUCCAUAUUCACAACUUCCCACUUCUAAGUAGGAAUACUGAUAUUAUGAAUACCUCUAGGUCUCCGGUGGUCAACCUUAAACUACUAGAAAUUUGGAUACUUAACCACAAGUUCAACGAUAUCGUUCUUUAUGUUAUUUCACCAACAGACUUUCUAUAGGUCACGAUACAUCUUAGUGGCUCCUGGGUAAAUAAAAUAUCAAGAAUUGUGAACUUCUUUUAGAAUCUACUAUUUCAAGUCAUCCACAUCUAGAACACAUAGCAUGCCCUAAAAAUAAAGAACAUCAUCCCCCCCAAAAGAGAACCUCAACCUUUUGACUUUGGACCGCUCCUUUCAACUUAAGCAAAAUAAGAUCACUAUCUUUCUUUUCUUUCACCUCAUCUAUCAAUGAAGAUUCUGAACCAAGAUACUACCUUCGGUUGAAUUAACCCGCUAAAAUCCAAAUCAAGAAAGUUGAUGAACCUCUCAAACUAACUCUUUCUUCUCAUCCUCUAUGUGGGAAACACUUCUCAUAGAUAACCUGCUAAAGCAUUAGCCACUAUAUUGGUGUUACCCGAUUGGUACAAGACACUCAUAUUAUAAUUCAUCAAUUACUCUAGCCAUCUCCACUAAUAAAGAUUUAGAUCUUUCUGACUGAAAACAUACUAAAGGCUUUUGUGAUCCAUGAACACAUAAACAUGAACCCAAUUAGGGCAAUGCCUCCAAAUCUUUAAGGCAGAAACAACUAUUGCUAUUGUGCCCAAGUGCAUAUGCAAGUGUACGUGGUUUAACCAAGUAAUAUAGUGUCCUUAAAAAAAGUCAAGUGCCUAUCCCACAGGGACUACCGUUAAGAAACUAUCCUAGACUAGUCCAUCUAUAAGAUUAACUCAAUGCUAACGUAACCACAAUAUUGUUUGAGAGUAAACUAAGAGUAAACUUAUCAAUGCAGAAAAUUAAAUGUUCUUGAACAACAUUGGAGAGAAACCCUGGGUCAAGGCACUGCGAACAAUCAUACUAUGUUAUAGAAUUUCAUUAGCUAGUUUAUUUAUCUUGGUUGUUUGUUCAUGGAGUCUAUACCAUGACUAUGGUCUUCCGAACCUUUAAUAAAUUAUCCAACUUAGCCCUACAACUACAUCGUUGAGCGGGGAUAUAAGAACUAAGAUAAAUGCUUUAAUAUCCAUACAUACUUGAACCAAAUAGGGAACUUAAGUAUAUUCCUAUCCUAAGUUCAAAGCAUAAUAUCAUUCUGUGAAGAUUACGAUCCUAUUCUAUUCAUCCCACAUUCCACUCUACCAUUUAUCCUCCCGAGUUCACUAUAGAGUUAUAGCAUAUAUUCUAAGGGCCAUGAAUUAUUAAAAUAGUGAUAACAAGGAUAAAUAAACAAUCAAAUAUUAUAAUAAAGAAAAAAAAAUUAAUUUCAAACAAUAGUAAUCAUGCUCUUGGCCUUAAAACCAGAAAAAGGGUGUUUAGCCGCUCAUAGACGUAACAAGAAUCACAAUGAAUGAAUACAUGUUAAAAUCAAUAAACAAACCAAGUUAAUGGAGGAAAAAUCCUAAUUGAAGUAUUCUACAGCCUCCCUUCAAGUUUCAAGGUCGUCCAAGGUGUCUAUCAUAACAACUAAGUGUCCUAUUUAUACUUGGACACAAUUACAGAUUUUGACUUAAGGGCAUGCCACGCCAAUAUCGUAACAUGUAGGUAGAGUGGCAUGAUAAAAAUGCAGAGGAUCACUGGAAAUUGACAUCCCAAAUGUUUCCAAUAGCAUGCCAUGGCCUUAUCGCCGCACCUAGGCAACAUGGCAUGUCAAGGACAUCAAAAUGUCCAACUUUGAUCAUGCCUUGUCCAUUGUUUUUGUCCUUUAAAGUCCUAGCUUUGUAGUGUUAUUUCCAUAUGAUAUCCAGCUUGUUUAGCAUCCCUUUAUCAUCAUGAUCAUCUUAGCAAGAUUCCUAUAACAUAAAAGACCACACAUUAGACCGCAAAACACAUACGAUUCAAGACAACGAACUAGUAAAAGUCAUAGCUCAAGCUAAGAGUACUAGCUUUUGUCCCUUAAUUCUUAACUUGGUGUUUUGAAUACCAUUUCACUAUGAACACACUUCAAACAUUACAUUUACAUAACAUAACACUUAGAUUCUAAUUUCAACUAAUAAUUACUCAUUAAGCACACGAUAAGUUCUCUAAACUAAGCUAAAUAAGCCCGGAUAACAACACUACGGUAUAUAAAUCCACCUCAGAUCAUCACCCCAUCCUUAAAGCCUUGUUCGUCCUCAAACAACUCUUUACUCUAAGCAUCAUAAUCAGGGAAGACUAUAGACUUCUAUAACAAGCAAGACAUUUAAGCUAGUAAUACAAUGACUACACAAUGACUACACAGAUUGCAAGUUCUUACACUAAGCAUCAUAAUCAGGGAAGACUCCAUACUUCUACAACAAAAAAGACAUUCAAGCUAGUACUAUAAAGACUAAUCAGGCUGCAAGUUUUUAAACUAAGCAUGUUAGACACAAGUGAGAACUCAAGAACAUUACUUCAAGACAUCCUAACCUUAAGAAUUGACUCACCAAGUUGGCACACUCAUGAAUAUUACUCAAUCAAAAAGAUCAGACAAAUCAUCCAACUAUCAUCAAACAUUUACCCUCACAACAAGAGAGUUGUCCAUAAUCACUCAUGCAGAUGUAAUUUAUCAUAGAAUGGGUACAAGAAAUAGACUACACUCACUCUCGCACAGAAUUCACAAGUUACACAUGUUGAACCAUAGGCUAGCCCUUAGUGUCGUACUCCACUAAUAUCAGAAUAUUAAGGCUCAAGAUCAAAUAGGUCUUUAUGGGUUGUAAUGUAAGCUAAAGGAUGGUUAUGAACUAUUUGGCUAAAAGUAGUGAAUAACUUCCUUAAGUGCAUUAAUACAUCACAUAAACAUUAAGAUCAAUUUAUUAACAACCAAUUUUCUCCACUUCUAUCAUACCCAUUCUUUUUUUUUCCCAUCUCAUUAAGCCAGUCAGAUAUAAUGUGAAGGGAGUAUUCUUCAUCAACUCUAGAUCAAAUUUUAGCACACUACCUCUCUUUUCAUCACACAACUCCCACUCAUAAUAUGUAUCAAUUUUGAAACACUAAUAGUUAAUUUAUGGGGCCUUAGUUUCACCUCUUUUCUUCUUGUUUUUCACACUUCUUAACUCAUUAAGUUUUCACUAAAGUGCUUGGGAGCUUUGGAUCAAAUUAAGGUCAACCAAAAAAAGGAACAGGCUACAUAUACAGCUACCAACAACAUAAGCUAAAGGCUCAAUGAGGCUAACUAUAAUUAUGCACAAGGGUAGGUCACAAAGGGUAUGAAACAUGGUUAUCAAAGAAAUUCCUAUAUCAUCGCCUAAACCCACACUCUUUAUUUCACUUUGAACAUAUACCAGACAAGUUCAAGAAAUCAAAUGCAACAAGGAAAAACCAAAAACCUUACACCAUAAUGGCACAUUCCCAACUCAAGUAGGAUUAUUAUAAACUCUCAACCAAGUAAUCACAUGAAUUCAACAUUAAACCCACAAGAUUCAAGAGUCAUAACCCAAAACCUAGGAGUCUCAAAAGUAGUAAUACACACAAACAACAUGCUUUUACACACAAAACCCACUUGCAUCAUGUAAUCAUACAUAUCACCAGCAAGAACAUCUCACCAAACUAAUAUAAAAAUUAAAAAUUUACUCCUAAAAGGAAAAAUAAUAUUGGGUUCAAGGGACACCCUCGUAGAAAAAAAUCAAAAAGAACAACCACGGGGUAGGUGAAGUGUGCACCUACUAGACUGACCUAACUAAACAAAAAACUAAAAAGCAAAAUCAUUUUGUAAUUUUUUCAAAUUUAUCAAAUUUAGGGAAAAACUAGAAAAACAAUUAGAAAUUAAGAUCCUACAACUUCACUUUAACUGAAACAUGGGAAUUUUCUCACCCCACACUUAAAAAUCUACUUUGUUCUCAAAGUUGAAUUUAAAGGCAGAGAUAGAAGUACUCCUUGAGGCCUCUAGGCCUAGCAAUAUCUUUAAACAUCAAGAGGGUCCGAUGACCCUACAUUUAAUCUUCGCCAUGCUUCUUAACUUAGGUUUUCAGUACUCAGACUUCCCAUCAACCUGUGACUCAACAAAAACAAAAAACUAUGUGAAGUAAAGACUAAAAUACAAAAAUAAAAAAACUACCUUAACUUGGGUUGCCUCCCAAGCAGCAUCUGAUUUAGUGUUGCGACAUGACCUAACAUCACGAUUAAUCAAAUUUAUUCAUCCUUUUCCUUCUACUUUGAGGCCAUCUUCUCACUCUUCUUUGACCUCUUAAGUGUGAACUCUCAACGUCAACAACUUUUUCAAUAAUAUAGUGGUCUAAAAAAGCCAAGUAUCUAUCCCAUAGAGACUUGUGUUAAGCGCGCACACACAAGCGUACGUGGUCUCACCAAGUAAUAUAUUGGCCGCAAAGAAAGCCAAGUAUCGAUCCUACAUAGACUAGUGUUAAGCAACUAUCCCAGACUAGUCUAACUAUUAAGAUUAACUCAAUGCUAACAUAACAACAAGAUUGUUUGAGAGUAAACUAAGAGUAAAUUUACAAGUAUGGUAAAUUAAAGGUUUUUGAAACAACAAUGGAGAGAAACCUAGGGUCAAGGCACUGAGAAAAAUCAUACUACAUUAUAGAACUUUAUUAGUUAGGUUAUUUAUCUUGGUUGUUGGUUCACGAGGUCUAUACCUUGAUUAUAGUCUUCCGAACCUCUAAUCAAUUAUCUAACUUAGCCUCCCAACUACAUCGUUAAGCGGAGAUGAGAGAACUAAGUUACAUGCCUUAGUAUCCAUCCCUUACUUGAACCAAAUAGGUCACUUAAGUAUAUUCCUAUCCUAAGUGCAAAUCAUAACAUCCUUCUAUGAAGAUUACAAUCCUAUUUUAUUCAUCCCAUAUUCUACUCUACCAUUGAUCCUUUGGGGUUCAUAAUAGAGUUAUAACAUAUAUUUUAAGGGUCACGACUUCUUAAAAUAAUGAUAAAAAGGGUAAAUAAACAACCAAAUAUGAUAAUCAACCAAAGAUGAUAAUCAACCAAAACCAAAUCAAUUCCAAACAAUAGUAAUCAUGUUCUUGACCUUAACCCCAAAAAGGGUGUUUAGUUGCUCAUAGACGUAACAAGAAUCACAAUGAAUGAAUACAUGUUAGAUCCAUAAACACGUUAAAUUCAAGGAAGAAAAAACCUAAUUUAUAUGUUCUACAACCUCCUUUAAAGUACCAAGGUCAUCCAAGAUAACAACUAAGUGUCCUAUUUAUAUAUGGACACAAUUGCCGAUUUUCACUUAAGGGCGUGCCACACCAAUAUAGCACCAUAUAGGCAGCAUGGAAGGCCAAAAAUUCAGAUGAUCAUUGAAAAUUGACAUGCCAAAUGUUUAAAAGGGAUUGACACGGCCUUAUCGCGAUACCUAGGUAGCGUGGUAGGCCAAGGACAUCAAAACUUCCAUCUUUUAUCAAGCCUUAUCCAUUGCUUUUAUCCUUUAAGUCCAAGCUUUGUGGUGUUGUUUCCAUGUAAUAUCCAGAUUGUUAGCAUAAUUUUAUCAUAAUGAUCAACUUACCAAUCUUCCUACAACAUCAAACACCACAUAUUAGAGCACAAAAUGCAUACAAUUCAAGACAAUGAACAAGUAAAGGCCAUAAAUCAAACUAAGAAUGCUAGCUUUUGUUCCUUGAUUCUUAACUUGGUGUUUUGACUCCUAUUUCACUAUGAACAUUAAAUUUACAUAACAUAACAUGUGUAUGCUUAUUUAAAACAAGAAUUACUCAUUUAUCACAUGAUAAGUUCUCCAUACUAACCUAAAUAAGCCGAAUAACAACACUGAGGUGCAUAAAUCCACCUCAGAUCAGUUGCCAAAUCAAGGUCUUGAGUUGAGAAAUUCUUUUCAAGAGGCUUGGGUUGUCUAGAGACAUAUGCUAUAAUCCUUCCAUGCUACAUCAAUAGACAACCAAGGCCAACUCUAGAACCAUCAUAAUAGUCCACAAACGUAUCUAAACCCUCUGGUUGAGUCAAAGUUGAAGCAUAGGUUAGUCGAGUCUUCAACUCUUGAAAACUCUUCUCGCAUGAAUUGAACCACUAAAACUUGACUUUUUUAUGUUAGUCUGGACAUAGGGGAAGCAAUAGAGGAAAAUCCCUCAACAAACCAUCCAUAAUAACCAUCUAAACCCAAAAAACACUUGAUAUAUGAUGGAGAGAUAGGUCUAGUCUAAUUUCUAACUGCUUUGGUCUUUUGAGGAUCAACCUGAAUGCCUUUAUAAAAAAUAAUAUGGCCAAGGAAGGCUACCAUCUUUAACCAAAAUUUACACUUGCUAAACUUAUUGAAUAGUCGGUGAUCAUUGAGAGUCUGUAAUACAAACCUCAAAUGAUCUUUAAGUUCAUCUUCACUCCAAGAAUAAUUGAGGAUAUCAUCAAUAAAGAAAAUGAUGAACAUAUCCAAAUACUGCUUAAAUAACCUAUUUAGCAAGUCCAUAAAGCUGCAGGAGCACUUGUUAGUUCAAUUGACAUAGCAAUAAAUUCAAAAUGACCAUACCAAAUUCUAAAAGUUGUCUUCAGAAUAUCAAAUUAUCUAACUCUGAGCUGAUGAUAGCCAAAUCUAAGGAAUCGACACCUUGAAAUUAGUCAAAUAAUUUAUCAAUCUUAGGAAUGGGAUACUUAAUUUUUAUUGUGAUUUUGUUCAACUGCUGGUAGUCAAUGCACAUUUAGAGAGGGCCCUCUAUUUUGUGUAUGAAGAGAAUUGGAGCACCCAAUAGAGAGAUAUUAGGCUUUAUAAAACUCUUUUGUAGAAGAUCUUUUAACUAUUACUUCAAAUCCUUAAUCUUGGUUGCAUCCAUUCUAUAGAGUGGAAAAAAAUAGGUUGGGUAUCUAGAAUGAGAUCUAUUCCGAAGUUGAUUUUCCACUUGGGGGGAACUCUAAGAAAAUCUUUAGGAAAUACCUGUAAAUCAUUAACUACUCCUUAAGAGUUGGAGUCUCAAAAUUUGAAUCCUUAACUCAAAAAAGAUGUUAUAUACACCUUUGAAAAUUAUGUUUCUACGCUAAAGGUAAGAGACAAAUUGACCUAUAGGCACCGAGGUACUACCUUUCCACUCUAUGACCUAUUCAUUUAGAAACCAAAAUUGGACUAUUUUGUUUGUACAAUCAAUAGAGGUGUUGCAAGAGUGGAGACAAUCCAUGCCAAGAAUAACAUCAAAAUCUAUCAUGUCUAACUCUACAAGAUCAAUUGAGGUGACUUUCUGAGAAAUUGUGAAUGAGAAAUUUCUACAUACCCAUCUAGCUAUGACUGAAUCACAGAUUAGAGUAAAGACUAAGAAGGGUUCUGAGAGGAUUUUAGGACUGACACUGAAGUUUACUACUAUAUAGGGAGUCAUGAAGAAAAGUGUGUCUCCAAAAUCUAACAAUGUAUAGAGAUAAAUAUGAAAGAUAUGUAAUAUACCAAUAACCACAUUAGGAGAACCCUCCCGAUCUUGCCCAGUCUGAAGGGCAAAGAAUCUACUUUGAUGUUGUCCGUUAGCUAUAGUAAAUGAGGCACCCUGUUGAGUCAGGAGACUUACUAGAGAAAUUAAAGGGUUAGAUUAACUUUGCUGACGAGUAUUUCUACCCCUGGACAUCUCCUUAAUCUAUGGACUCACUUACCAUACCUAAAAUAAAUAUCACUACCAUCUAUAUGCUCAACCUUGUGGUUCUUACCACACUUUUUGUAAAUCGAGUUAGUAAGACCAUUAUUACACUACCCCAGGACUUAGAGCAUAGUGCUCUAUCCUAAUUAUCUUGCCUAAACUUAGGCAGUGGAGCAUUAGUAGAAGAUAAGUUAAAGCCAAAGAUUUCUGGUGGAACCAAGAAUAAUUACCACCAUCUUACCUCUGUUGAGAGAAAUUAAAGCUACCUAUUCUGUCCCUUCUACUCUUCUUUUUCUUCUCCUUGAUUUUCUCUUCUUAAAUUUGUUGAUAAUGAACCAUCAACCUGGAGAUGUGCAUAUCAUUAACCAAGAUUGCAGUCCUACACUCUUUGAACACAUCCUUAGAAAUACCAAACAUAAACAUACUCAUAUGGGCCUUAGAAUCAAUAACCAUUAUCAGCACAUACUUAGCCAGUUGAGUAAGCUUGGGAGAAUACUCCUUUACACUCAUGUUACCCUGCUUCAAAUUAAUAAAAUACUAAACUUUGUCUUCCCUUAACUCAAGUGGGAAGUAACUGUCCUGGAAAGCAGUUAUCAAACUCAUCCCACUCUACCGAUCCUGUAUCCGUACUUCAACAUCUUUCCAUUAUUUAUACCAAGUGUGAUCAAUUAUUUUUUAUCAAUUUAGACAAAAAGCUUUCUAGAGAAAAAACUUAGAAACUAAAACCUAAUACUAACUGCAACUAAUAAGGCUUUAACCACCACCGAUGGGGCCACCCCACCGGAGGAUUUUCCAACCCUACCAUCCCAAAACAAUUUUAAAAAAUCAAUACUAGAUUAUCCAAACCCCAUUAACACUAUAGACUAGAAUCAUCACGCGAAUAUCCUUAAACCUAAACCAAUUACCUCAUCAAUUACCAAUGUACCACCAAAACCUGUUGUUAUGCUAAAUAGCAAGCCUAAUAUUACACAGAUAAAGUCAAAAGUAAAAUCUUUCAUCAUUCUAGAGAACUUACAAUAUGCUAUUGUAAGGAAACUUUUGUAUGGAAAUCAGAUAUCAAUGAACUAAGGAAAAAUAUUUUGGGACAAUGUAGAAUAAAAAAUGAAUGUAAGUUGGGAGUUUUGAAUUCCAGGCACAUAUUAAUCCGGCUUACUAGUUCAAAGGAUUAUGCGCAGAUAAUAUCUACUGAAACGUUCUAUGUUAAAGCAAAGAAAAUGUAACGGCAUAUGAAAACACUCAAAUAGGAUCCCAGAUAUGGAAAUAAUAGUUAGAGUUGCAUGGAUUUCAUUACCAGAUAUACCACCAAAUUUUUUUGUAAAGAAGGAAAUUUUCUCUAUAGCAUUUGCAGUAGGGAAACCACUCAGCAUGGAUAUCACGACGAGGAAUCAAACAAGGCCGAGUUGUGCAAAAGGGAAAAUUAAAGUGGAUUUAGUUGCAAAACUACCACAAAGGGUGAGAAUCAAUGAGAAAGAUGAUGUAAUGGGAGAGAUUAAGUCAAAUAAAUUAAAAUCCAAUUAUUAAAUGCCCAAGUAUUGUAAAUAAUAUGGCUUACAAGGGCAUGAUAAGAAAAGUUGUUGGAAAAUCCAUUCAAAGUUAUUUGAAGCAAGGAAGGAGGAAGAUUACAAAGAGAAAGGAGAGGAUGAGAUAGAAAAUUACAACAAUGUAGCAGUACCUAAUCAAAGAAAGGUUCUAUCAGGUGGGAAAAUGAUUGAAAGCAACCAAUACAAACACGAAUGGAUGAUCAAAGAAGAAAUAAUUAUAGAAAGGAUAAAUAUAGUCAUAUUCAGGAUAAACUUAAGUACAAUAAUAAAAAUCGUUUUGAAGUACUUAGAGAAAAGAAGAGAGCAGAAUGGAUAAAAAAGGGGAAACAAAAAGAAUUGUCAGUCAAGGAAUGGAUAAAAGAUUGGGUGAACCAAAGUUUUGGCAAAUAAAUAGCGGAAGGAGGAGGUUGAUAACAUAGAAAAAAUAUAGAAAAUUAAGGACAAGAAUUUGGAGAAACAAGUAUAGCAGACAACAAAUCAAAAAUAAAUUAAGCAAAUCAAUAAUAAAGGCGACAAGAAGGAAGAUGGAGCUAUAGUGAUAUCUAAAGUGGAUAACAAUGAAGAACUUGCUCUGGCUGUCUAAACUAGUGACGUGUGAAUAUGGGUUGAUGUAUGGAUAAGGAGGACUUGGAGCCUAAUAUAGAUGAGAUAGCCAGGGAUGGAGAUUUAUCUCCAAAAUAGAUUAAUAAAUUGAAGAGAAUCAUACAAAAUAGAAGAAGACGGGCAGUGUGGGAAUGUCGUUAGCUCAAUCAAUUUUAAGACAAAUAAGAAGAACAAAUACCAAAAUAAAUAAAGUCUAAUGAAUGCAUUGAUAGAGAAUAUAAGAUCAGUGAACACCCAAAAAGCAUUCACUAGAUUAGUUAACAUGCAGAAGAGAUAUCACUUUUGUUUUAUUCAUCUUAUGAAAUCUUUCCAAGAUAGACAAGAAUUUGAAAUAUACAAUAGGAAGAUAGGGUUAAAAUAUGUAGUAUCAAUGUUAAUAGGAAAAUAUAGGAUUUCGUAGAUGAAAGUAUAGAGUUUGAUAUUUAAGUGAUGAAGAACAACAACUUACUCACAAGGUGUAUAAUCAAGGUCAGGAUCUAGUGGUGGUUGUUACUCAGGUGUAUGCUAAUGUACUCAAGGUGAGAGACUACAUUUAGGGGAUCCUUAUAUGAGUUAUCCUAAUUGUACAAACUUCAUGAUUGGUAGGAGGAGAUUUUAAUAUAAUCACUAAUGAAGAAGAAAAUAUAGUAGGACUCCAGUUAUAGAGGAGAGGUGAUGGAUUUUAAUUAUUGCAUAAAUAUGUGUGCAGUGGAUGACAAGGACUUAAGGAAGCAAGUACACCUGAUGAAAUGGUAGAACUGAUAAAGAAUGCAUCUUUAAGAGGCUAGAUAGAGUACUUUUGUAAUGAAUUGAUAAAAAGUAGAUUUCCAGCAUUAGAGGUGAAAUAUUUGGUAAGAAGUAGAUCAGACCAUGCUAAUCUCUCAUAACAUCAGCACUGAGAAUAUAAUUAACAGCUUUAGAUUUUUAAACUUCUGGUUGAAAGAGGGAUUAUUUAUAGAGGUAGUCAAGUAGCAUUUGCAGAUUUUGAAGAAACCUGUUUAGUCUAUUUUACUAUAAGAUAAAGAGACUAAAAAUGCACUGACUUGAUAAAGAAAGGCAACUUUUGGGAACAUAUUUUAGUAAAUAGCUACUCUAGAGGAAGUAAAAAGGUACAGGAAAUUCAGUUUGAAGUAGACCCUUCAAGAGACAAUAGAGAGUGGUUGUAUAAAUUUCAAGCUAGCAUGAGUGAAUAUCUUUAUAGGAAAGAGGACUAUUGGAAUCAGAAAGCAGGAGUGGAAUGGCUAAAAGAUGGGGAAAUAAAUAUAAAAUUCUUCUAUACCAUUGUUAAUAGAAGAAGAAGUAGAUUAAGGGUGAAUAAAAUCCAAACUAGGGGAAAGGAGUAGUUGGAACAACAAGAUGACAUUGUAGAGGUAGUAAUGGAAUUUUACAAUAAUUAAAUAAAAAAGCAGAAUGAGUAUUCAAAUUUUGAAAUGUUGAAUGAAUUGCCUACUAUAAGCAACAGUGAAGAGAGUGAAGAAAUGCAUGGAAUUCAAAGAAAGGAGAAAGUCUGGUAGGUAGUGAUGGGUUUAAAUAGAAGUAGUACAGAAGAACUUAAUGGUAUGAUAGGUUCCUUUUAUCAAGAUACAUAGAAUAUAAUUGGUGAUGAUAUGUAUAGAAUGGUGAAAACCUUCUUUUAUGGUACAGAUCUAUAGGUUUGUAACUCAUACAGAUGUAGUUCCACUUUCAAAGAAGGUGAUGGUGAACAAUUUUCAGACUUGAGGCUUCCUUGAGCAGUUUUAUGAAUAAAAUUUUCUCUAGGAUAAUACAUGAGAGGAUAAUAUCAGUGCUUCUAAGAAUAAUUUCCAAUGAGCAGGCUAGUUUUGUGCAAGGUGGGAGUAUAGCAGAAAAUGUCUUGCUAGUAUAGGAGAUUACCAUUAAAAUAAGAAAGAGUGGUAAGUCACCUAAACUUGAGACUAAACUAGGCAUGAUUAAAAAUUAUGAUAGGAUAGAGUGGUUGUUUCUAAUAAAAGCGCUAAGAAAGAUCAGAUUUAGUGAAAGAUUAAUUGAUGUGGUGUAUGGACUUAUGGAAAACAACGGGUACUCAAUAUUAUUGAAUGGCUAGCCUAAAAUCUUUUUUAGAUAUUCAAGAGGUAUUAAACAAGGGGAUCCCCUAUCUCUCACUCUCUUAAUAUUAGUAGCAGAGGUGAUGUCCGAAUCUUUAAACUACUUGAUGGAGAAAAAUGAUUUCAAAAGAUUUGGGAUGCUAAAAGGAAACCCUAAAAUUAAUUAUUUGGCAUUUAUAGAUGAUAUGAUAAUUUUGUGUGAAUCAGAAGUAAGAAUAAUGCAAAUAAUUAUCGAGAUAUUGGAGAGGUAUGAAAGGGUGUCCUAGCAGAAGUCAACAAAGAAAAAAGUGUCAUAUACUUGCAUCAUAGUGUGUCAGGAGGGAUUGUUGUAGUAGCAAAGGUAGCAACUGGUAUUUUAAGGAAAUAUUUUUCUUUCACCUACCUAGGUUGCUCUGUUUUUUAUAAAAAGAAAUUGUAAAGUUACUACGACCAGAUGAUAGAAGGAAUAAGCUCUAAAUUGUAGACUUGGAAAGGAAAAUUACUUUCUUAUUGAGAAAGCGUAAUUUUGAUCAAGAAUGUUAUACAGAGUAUACCUAUUCACAGCUUAUCAGUAAUGAAUCCUCUUAUAGAUAUGUCAAAUCAGAUACAAAAAAUAAUGCUCAAUUGUUUUGGAGUAGCUGUAUUGGGGGAAGUGGUAGACAUUGGACCAAAUAGAGCAAUUUAUGUCUACUAGAGGAGAAAGGAGGUUUGAAGCUUAGGCUAUUACAAGAUAUGUCAGUAGCCUUUUUUGUAAGCUUUGUUGGAACUUCAAAAUAAAGAAAUCAAUUUAGAACGAGUACAUUUGUAGAAAAAUACUACAAGAAAAUAAAUUGGAACUUGGUGAUGUGGAAAGUAGAAAGUGAAGGAUCUCAAGUAUCGAAGAAAAUAUUACAAGAAAGGGACUUACUAGAGCACCAGAUAUGGUGGAAUACAAGAAAUGGAUUAGCUUUUCUGGCAUGACAAUUGGUCUUGGCUGGAAGAUCUUUAUACUAUUAGUGGAGAUGAGUUUGAAGGGGAUGAUUCCUAUGAGACAGUCAAAGAGGCAAAAAGAGAAAGGGAGUGAGAUGUAGAGAUAUUAGAGAAUUUUCUUCCACUGGAAGUAGUAGGAAAUAUCCCUAUCCACAUGAAACCUCUAAGGGCAGAAGGGGUGAUGGAUAACCCAUGCUGAAUGUUAGACAGUAAAUGAGUCUUUACAAUUAGAUCAGCCUGGCAGUACAUCAAAUAUAAAGAAGAGACUAACAAAAUCUACAAGCAGUUAUGGAUUAAAGGUGUGCCUUUCAAAAUGGCAUUCUUCAUAUGGAGACUAUGGAAGCUUAAAAUCCCAAUGGAUGAUAGAGUGAGAAAGUGGGGUAUUGAAGGAACAUCUAAAUAUUAGUGUUGUGAUAAUCCAUCACAAUAGACACUAGCACAUGUGCUCCUAAGGUCAACUACUGCUAAUAAGAUUUGGUCAUACUUUUUUCCUUUGCAGCUUUAAACAUUGAAGGCCUCUCAAUUAAUAAUGUUGUGGUGGGGAGUAGAAGUAAAAAAGGAGUAAAAUCAUACUAUAAGGCUUCGCUAAGCGUAGUAGUAUAAGAAUUAUGGAAGAGGAGAAAUAACAAAAAACAUGAAGGAAAGAGGAGAUUUACUUAAAGAAUUAUUCAUAGUGUGGUUAGAAUAAUGCACAUACUACUAAGAGUAAAGAAGCCAAAUAUGAGUUUCUCUGGAAACUAACCAAGAAUGCUAAAGGAGUUAAGAGAAAUUCAAUCCUGGGGUGACAGUUACUAAAUUUUAUGGGAACUCCCACCCCAUGGAGAUUUACUAUAUGCAAAAGAUGCUAAAUUGGAUAAUACUACAAAUAUAUUAGCAAAAGUAACUCAAUACUGGAAGCAAGUAAACAUUGCAAGUAAUUAAGUUAUGGUUAAGUUACUAUUCAAAUUGAUUUGAUGCUUAUAAUGAAGGUGUUAACAGGGAAGUGUGCAUGUCCAUGGCAUAUAGCAAACAUAAUAGUAGAGAUUAAAGCAUAUCUUUAGGGUAAGCAAGUUAUGAUAUAGCAUAUUCUAAGAGAAGGAAACCACUUAGUUGAUUACCUAGAAAAUCGAGUAAUAGAUAUAGGUAAUUGCAGCUUUUUUGAAUUUUCAAUGCUUGGAAUCAAAGGGUAGAAAUAUAGUCAAUAGUGACCAGCUAAAGUGUCCAUAUUUAAGAGUAUUAUCUAUCAAGGGAUAAUUGGGUAGAAAAUGCUAAAGCAUAAGUUUUUUCACAAGAUAUAUAUUUGCAAAAGCCAUAGAGGCAUCAAAAAGAGUGAAAUGAUAUAUAUCCUAUUCUACUUUAGUGAUAAAAAAGGACUCGACAAAAUGGGAGGGUCUUAAGUCGGAUUGAACUAUAAGGUAGAAAUGUAGAGCUUCUCAUAUACUCUACUCUAGGUCCACCUACAAAAAAUGGAUGAUCAGAAAAUGCUUAGAGGAGGAAGAAGCAAAGAAGAAGGAUAUUUACCUAGUGAUGAAAGCCAAUAUCAACAGACGAUCACCCUCAGCAAAACUAAAUAAGCAUAGCCAUCCAUCAAAGAAUGCAACUGAAAAAAAACAAGUGAGAGCAGGAAAAAGGGCUACUAAAUCAAAUAGGGAAGGUGUACUACUUACUUUUUAAAGCUGACAUAUUAGCAAACAAAAAAACUAUGAGGACAAUAUUGAUAAUCCAUAUCAAGAGAAGGUAAAGGCACUAAUUGAUCCUCGGCGAUGACAUUCUUCAGAUGUUUGAGGUUUUAGGAAAGGAAAGAGUAGGGGAUGCAAUAGGAAAUCAUAACAUAGUUAUAUGUGUAAUAAAAAUAGAUGGGCUAGGGCUUAGUCCGUUGUGGGCCGAUAGAAUAGUCAUGUUUUGUGAUUUUUAUUUUAGGCUGAUUGGCUUGUGUAUUUUUUUUAUUGAUUAAUAAAAAACUCAAAACUUUCCUAAAAAAACAAGUGUGAUCUACUCCUUCCAAUUAAUAAGCAACCAAGUCAGCACUUUAAGUUAGAGUGACACCCAUGAUCUUAGUAACUUUCUAACUAUAAUCUAGCAACUAUUGUGGAUCCUCUUCUUACUUAGAUCCAAAGAAUACUAAAGAAUUCAUUUGAGUGAAGUCUUGAACUCUGGCUACUGUUGUAUUCACUAUUGGGUUGAAUGGUGCCACAAUCUAUUGGUUAUUAUGGGUAGUCAUAGACUGGGAUAACACAGUAAAAAUAACUUUGAAUUCGGCAUGAAAGACUUGCUCAUUCAAAGAGCCUGUUGGAGCUGGUGGUACUUGAUGGUUCUCGUUCCUGUUACCAUUUUCAUUUCUCCUUCUGUUGGCUCUUUUAGGAGGCAUUUUCUAUAAAGUCAUAAAGCACGAGUUAGAAGAAGAUUUUAAUAGAGUUCACACUCUAUCGCAUAAUAUGAACAUACAAAAGUGAAACUUUUUCUAUUCAUAGCCUCUCACUCAUAAGUAUGGCACACUUCACACCCAUGAACAAGACCUACUUAACGCGACUUUUAGACACCCUAUGACACUUUAAACCUGAGGCUCUGAUACUAAGUUUUUCAUGGCCCAAAAAUACCCCUAGUCACAAUACGAUACUUAGAUUUACAAGUGACCCCAAGCUAACUCACGACUUGACAUAACACUAAGAAUACUGAAAUAAAUGAUGAAAUACCGAGUAAAAACUAAAUUAAAAUGACAUAAUCAUAAUAAAAGCAAAAUCAAUAUGAGUGUCAAAAAUAAGAUUGUUUGAAAUAUUCAACAUGCUGAAAAUUUGACUAUCUGUCUGAACGCCUCUAAAUACGAUGAGUUGCCGAGAUAAGCCCUCAGAUAAAUCUAACUGUUUGAAACUAAAAUAAUAAUAUAAUGAAAGUAAUUAAAUCUAGUCCUGAGAUGAUGAGAACUGACUAAACUCUGUUACUGAUAUAGGUACAAAAUCGUCUAACCGCGAGCCAGAUAUUGAACCUUUGAACCUAUAUUAUAAAAUAAUAUAGUACAACAACAUUUAUGAUUAGUACUUUGAAUAUACUGAGAAUAUGGUAUAUGUACUAUGUUAUAUAAAUUGAAUAUGCUAAUGAUGACAUGAUAAACUAAACAUGGAGCUGGAAUAAGUAAACUGAUACUAUGACUAUGUAAUGAACAUAUAACUAUAUAAUAUGCUGCAUAAAUGAAAUACAAGGUCAUGCAAAGUAUGAGUCUGAAUUGUGAGAGCUACUAUUAACUGGCAUAAUCUAAUUUGAGCUAACUAGGAUUCAACUGUGACCCCAGCUGAAAGGGUGUUCUUCACCUUGCCAAAGGUACGAAUACUGACUGACUUGGAUCCACAAAACUUAUGUCCAAAAGGACUAAGGUGCCAAACCUGGUCUGACCGAUGACUCUUUAGAACCUAUGGUGGCGUUGUUGUUCUAGGACUUAGGGACUUCUACUAAAGUUAUAGCCAAACUGGUGGGUGAUAUUUCAUUUCUGCGUUCGCUUGGUGCUAAGUACUCCUCCCAAUCGAAUAACAACUGAUAAUUGUAUGGUUAAUUAAGCUAAAUAACUGAUAAGCUCAAAAUGUUGAUAUCUGAGACUGAAAUAAUAGACACUUUAUCUAGAAAGCACCCUACAUCAUGUAAAGUUAGAGUAUUGAGUAUUCAUUAACAUAUUCAUGAAAUCCUAGGUCAUCGAAUGUUCAUAACUCGCCAUCUUUGAAGAAUGCAACUACUCAUGACAAUUCUCAUAAAUUGAAUGACAAAAGGAAUUCAUAACUCAAGUCCAAAAUCAUGAAUUAUAUGAUAUGUUGAGUAUUCAUAAUUAUAAGCAUGUAAUGAUAUUAAAAUUCAUGGUAAACAUGGGUUCAUGGCUCAAUUAUAACAAACUAAAAGAUUAAAAAAAUCAUGAUAUUCAUGAACCCUAGACUCUAAUGAAGGAAUUAAAUGGAGGAAUUUUGUUUACUUCGUGACUCGAUGGGUGGAAGGAAACCCAAAGAUGAAAUUCCAUAUACCUGGAGAUUGAAACGACUUUGUGAAACCUUUGAAUUUGAAGUCUGAAGUUGAAGAACCCUGAUUUUGCCUUAGAAAAAGAAAAUCGCCUCUUUCUCUAUUUUUUCUCUAUAUGUUAACUGAAUUUUGAGUUAAUUAAUGAGAAAUUUAGGGCAUUUUAAUCUUAUAUUUUAACCUUAGAAUAGCUUAAACGACAUAGUUUUGGUAUUAAAAGGGUGAAAAAAACCAAACAACCUCUUUGAAAAUGUUAUAACAGUGCAAAACAGUUUUGACUGAUUGUUCAGGUGACAGACCGUCAAUAUGAAUAAUCGGUACUCGAAUCAUCACAAAAUGACCAAGUUUUGGUUUUACUGUUUAAUCCUAAUGAUUUUCCCUGAUAUGUCAUCACAAGUGUGACGGUUUAUCACCGAACCAUCACACUCUGGCAGACAGACACCCAAUGGUAAAUUGAACAUAACAGUUUACUCUAGUAUCGGAUUAAUGAACGGUUAGUGAUGUUGGAAAUAAAAUUAAAAGACCUUUUAUUUGGUGAGUCUUUAUCCCUAAAACUCUUAAUGUGAUAGGAUUUAUAACCGUUUGAAGUUAACUAUAGAAAGAUUCUUCAUAAGAACUCAAGCAUUAAGGAAAGUUUCAACUUGGUUGUGAGCUAGGAGUUACUUGUGGCCUUAAUACUUGUCUAAAUCACUUCUUAUACUAUCAAAAUAUGAUGCUUGGUUCUACAUGUACUUGAAGCAUGACUUUAAUCAUAACUCAAUUUUUGGGGUUUUAGAGGACGUCAUGAGCUCACAUAGUGUAUGUCGGUUGUGAGAAACUCUCCAACAGGAAACUUAUUUUUCAAAAAAUGAUUUUGAAAUUGAGGCCAUAAUUUUGAAAAUCCUUACAGAAGUCUUAUAUUUAAUUAAAGGCCCAAAAUCAUACAUUAUCUUUGUCUUAGACACAAAAUAAUACAUAUUCUUUCAACUAGAGCACUAAUAGUCCUUUUAUUUAGUUAAUUGGUGCAUUUUUAGUCAUCACCCUAACACCAUUAAUUUUUUUAACAGCGGCCAAUCACCUUUCUAUCACACUAUUUUUUUCCUCCAAAAAAACCUCACUUGUAAAAUGUUACUGACAAGGGCUUGAAUCAGUUUGAGUCUUGAGAUUUUCUGUGUCACUAGUCACUAUGAUUUAGUCAUAAGGGCAUAAGUUCUUGGGGAUCUCUUGUGUUCAUGGACUGAAUGUAUAACCAAUGAGGGAGGAAAAAAUAUAUUCCAAUAAACACAAGAACUCCGAGAUCAGCCUCUUCACCAAUAGCUGGCCGACGAGGACGAACCAAGUAUAUUUGGGUUGCACACCAUAAGCAGUAUAAGGAAGGAAUUACUAACAUUAGCUUGCCAGAGUUGAUAACUCAUAACUUGAGUAGUUUCAGUGGCUUCACUCCGUAAGAUAGUUGCGACCCAAAAAUAAUAUGUUAUCGACAGAACAAGCAACUGAAACGAAAGUAAAAUAUCAUUGACUAAUCCAUCAGUAGACAACUGUUGAUGUAAAUAAAGUCAUCUAUCAAGCAACAACAUAAAACGCAAACCAUAAUAACAACAUUUGGAUUUAUUGGUGUGGGACCUUCUCCACAACCUGUGCUCAAUAUCCAAGUGUAUUGAGGGAAUAUCUUUUGAUUUAUACACAUCCUGACUUCUUUUAUUCUCUAUUCCUAGUUCUUUCACUCUUCAUUCUGUCAAAUGUCCUAAUUUUUAGAAACGAGUUCUUUUGCUCUUCAUUCUAUCAAACGUCUUUGCAUAUCAGGUAUGUAUUUUGAUCCAUUUGAGUUGAUUCCAUCUGCUCUUUUCUUGAUAAGAAGCUCCCCAAAUUGAUCCAUUCGCUUGAUUCCAUCUGCUCAAACUAAAUUGCAACUUUUUAUUAGUAUAAUGCUUAUUGUUUAAGCAUAGGAGGUCAUCACUGUUUUCUUGUUAGACAAAAUAUUUUGUGAAGUUAAUUCGUAGACUUUGUAUGUCUUACUCAUUUUUAUACUUAAUAAAGUCAAAAAGUUGUUCAUUGUUAAUAUUUUAGGUGGCAACCUUUUACGAUUAUGUUCUUAUCCCAAAAUAUCUUCAAGUGGAACAUUUCAGAAAUAUGACAUUUAAUCACCUCAAAGAGUUAAGUCGAAAGAUUUUGUAGUCUAUGAGCCUGAGUUACAGCAUAUAAAGCUUCUCUUAGCCAAAAUCUUCGAUGUUAAUGAAAAUUCUAACCAACCUCUACUGACUUGUUGAAAAUUCUGAAAUCACCUAACGUAGAAGUUGAUGUCAUCUUUGAUCUCCAUGAGUCUUAUCAGACCAUGAAAUUAAUAGAUUGAAAUAAUUAUUGAUGAAGUGAUACAGAGAAGUCUGAAUUAUUGAUACAACGUUGAUACCUCAAAGCUUAUUUGAUGUGUUUUUGCAUUGAUUCCCUUUUUUUAAUGGUGCUCGUAUUUACCUGAUAUGAAGGUGAGGAGGCUUCUGUUAAAAAAAUUAACGGUGUUAAGGUUGUGUCUAAAAAUGCACCACUUUUUAAACAAAAAGAACUAUUAGUGCACUAGUUGAAAGAAUAUGUAUUAUUUUGUGUAUAAAGCAAAAGAUAAUGUAUGAUUUUCGACUUUACUCUUAUAAGUUGCCUCCGCUGCUUUUCGACAAAAUAAAAAUUCAGUCUCAACAAUAGGAACUGAAAGAGCAAAAUGAAAGUUGUGAAAAGAAUCCCCGAAUUCAGUAAUGACAAGUGAGAUUUGCUCGAGUGAUUAAGCAUAUCCGUUAGGUUAAAGAUUCUGAGUCAGAUAAGUAAAAGGAUUCGAGUGGGUAGAAAUACUAUUGAUUUGGUAAAGAUGGUCAAAAAAAUAGAGGCAGUAUGAAUUCCUUCGUCUCCGUCGCUAGAAUUUCAAUACUAAGAAUGCAAUAAUGAGACUCAAAAAUUCCUCACUUUAUAGCAAUGUUACCCAAAAAACUCUCCCCAAAAUCUCUCUUAAAACUUCUCAAAUCUGAUAAAAACCCAAACACAACACUCUCCUUACAACCUGUUUGGAUGGUGGUUUCCCAUGGUAUGGUAUGGUAUGGUUACUACGGGAACCAUGUUUGUUUCCAUGGUUUCUUAAAAAUGAUGGUAUGGUAUGGUACUAUUCCAUGGUUUGAUAACUAUGGAAUGGAGCAAUUUGUUGAACCACCAAUUUGGUGGUAUAGCAUGGUUCUCCACAUUUUUUUCCAACUAUGCCCUUAAAUAAUUUUCUUUAAUCCAAUUUUACCCUUUUAACUUAAUAUAUUUUGUUUCAAAGCUUUUUUGCACUCUUGUCUUCUUUUCUGCGCCUCCUUGUACCAAGUUCUUCAUCCUUCCAUCUUCUUUUCUCUUCUACAAUUGUUCUCUCAGGUAUUUCUUUAAACUUAAUUACUUAUUGUUUUCUCAUAAAAUUUAUCAUAUUUAUUUAUCAAAUCUGUUGUAAUCUUUUUGGAAAUUUGGAAAACACGCAUCAACUUAUAAUUUGUUCUUUGUGUCUAAAUUGAUAUUAUUAUAGUAGGUGCUUUUCUUUUCAAAUUGAGUUUUAAAGUUAUUACUGUUUGUGCUGGUGUUGAUUAUCAUAAGUUCAAAUAGUGAUGACGGCAUUGUAAGGAAUGUAAAUUAAAUUGGGUUUUAACUUCAUGAUUUAUUGAUGCCUAUUCUUUAUUAUUAAAGCAAUAUUAAAGUAGCAGAUGUGUUUACAUUUGUUUUUUUGUGCAUGUAUGUUUUUUUAUAACUGUGUAAUCUUGUAGCUAAUUUUUAUUCAAAUAUAUACGUUCUUUAAUCGGUUGAUGCAUCUUUUUUAAUUUUAUUAUAAAUGGCUGAUCAAAAUAAUCAAGAUAGUAGUGACAUAUUGAGACAAGUGAGCUCAUUAGCGGCAUAUGCUGUUGUUCAAGUUGUUAUUUGGUUUUGGACGUAUGUUUAUGAAAUUGAAAAUAACCGACGUAUGAUCACACAUGAUAUACGGCUUGAAAGAGAGAAAAUUAGAGAUGAAUUAUUCAGCCAUCUAUUUUCGACGGAACUUUGUCAUAGUAUACUAAAAUGACCCCGUCAUGUUUUGCUGGUCUGUGUGAGAUUUUAGUUAGAGAUGGAGGUCUUAGACCAACAGUUCAAGUUACAGUUGAACAACAAGUUGCAAAAACACUAUACUUGUUAGCACAUAAUGUGACAAAUCGUGAGCUAUCUUUCAUCUUUCGACGAUCUGGAGAGUCGGUCAAUCGACAUUUUCAUGUUGUUCUACGAGCUAUCUUGGGAUUAUAUGAAAAAAUUAUCAAACAACCUAAUGGCUCCCAUGUUCCUUAUGAAAUUAGUAGCAGUCAAAGUUCUACCCAUAUUUUAAGGUAAACACAAUUCAACAUUAUUCUAAUUUAAUCUAAUAUAGAGAAUGUUUACAGUAUUAAUUGAUAUUAUAACAUCAGGAUUGUAUUGGUGCAAUUGAUGGAACACAUAUACGUGUUAAAGUUUCACAACAUGAAGCACCAAAAUAUCGUGGAAAGAAAGAUUAUCCAAUACAAAAUGUACUAGCUGUAUGUACAUUUGAUUUAAAAUUCACAUAUGUGUUAGCUGAGUGGGAAGGUACAACGUCUGAUUCAAGAAUCAUGAAAGAAGCACUAAAUAGUCAAGAUGCACUAAAAAUUCUCGACGGCAAAAUAUUAUAUAUAUUUAUCUAGAUUUAGUUAUAUGAUUAGUAUAUAAGUAAAUCUUUUACUUUUUAUGUUUAGGAAAAUUCUACCUUGUUGAUGCUGGACUUAUGUUGAGAAGCGGGCUUAUUACACCUUAUCGGGGGGAGCGAUAGCACUUGAAAGAGUAUUCAAGAAAUAAUCCACCUUGAAAUUCUCGUGAAUUAUUUAAUUUGCGACAUUCUUCUUUGCGUAAUGCUAUAGAACGCGCAUUUGGGGUUCUUAAACAGAGAUUUCCUAUAAUUUCUAGCUCAACUGAGUCAUCAUAUGGAAUUGAAACUCAAAAGUUGAUUAUAUUUGCAUGUUGUGUCUUGCACAACUAUUUAAGAUGUGUAGAACCAAAUGAUGAGUUACUCGCUCAAGUUGAUGCAGAGCUUAUGAAUGAUGAUAACACUGUGCAUGAAGAACCUCCAAAUUCUAGAGAAACUAACGAAAAGUUUAGGAAAGGGGAGUUGAUUUGAGAUGGCAUAACAGCUUGAUUUGAGAUGGCAUAACAGCUGCCAUGUGGGCUAAUUAUCAAGAUUAAUUUUCUAGAAAAAAACUCAACUGAUAAUUUGUGUCUCAUUUUUUUUGUUGAUUUAUUUACAACUAAUUUCGAGAUGCUGUUGUUUUUACUACAAACAUUGUGUUUUGUUGAUUUACUUUAUAUUAUAUUUUUUUAUUAAUUUUUAUGUGUGACAAUAUGUUCUUUUUUCAAAUUGUAUGAAUAUUUUAUCGUAAUUCUAUAGUGGUUGAUAUGGUGAAAAAGGCGAAAAAAUUCACUUCAAGUGAUCUAAACGUACAAGAUAAUUCUAUAUGUAUUUGGACAAAUGCGAUGGAUGACACAUUAGUUGAUGCCUAUUGUCAUGAGGAUGCACUUGGGCAUAGGGUUGGAGGAACUUUUACUACACACGCAAUGGAUAACAUUGUGAAGGAGCUACGAUCCAAAUUUCCAAAUAAAGUUAUUAACAAGGAAAAAAUUCAUAAUCGGAUGAAAGCAAUCAAAAGACAAUUCACCAAGUUUUAUGAUACAUUUCAUCAGUCGGGAAUAAGCGGAUUUGCAUGGGAUCCUAUCACGCAUAAGUGAGAUGCUGAACCUGAAGUAUGGGCUCAACUAAUUCAGGUAAAGUUUCAUCCCAUCAUGAAUAAGUAUGUUAUAUUUAUAGUCAUAGUUGAAUUUUUAUUAUUGUGGUAUGAUUAAUUUGCAGUGGUGAAAUUCUUCAAUAAACAUGGAAAAGUCACUUUGUUCAACAUUAUUUUCUUCAAUAAUAUUUUGCACUUAUAAUAUAUAGGUUAAGCCACAAGCUGCUGAGCUAAAGAACAAAUCAUUUCGAAAUUAUGAAAAGUUGGUGAUGCUAUAUGGAAAGGACAAAGCUACUGGAAAACAUGUUGAGACUGGUUUAGAUAUGUUAAAAAGGAACACAUCUAAGAAAAUCAAGUGCUGAUUCAUUGACUAUUGAUGAGAUAGAUGACAUGGGUUUUAUAAAUAUUGAUUCAUUGGAAGACAUGGAGGGACAUGAACAGGGCAACCAAAGUCAAGCACCUAGAGACGUGCCUACACAUACUGUCUAUUCAGAAGAACCAACACAUUCAAGAAAUAAAAAAUCUAAACAUGAUCAUCUUGAAGGCAUGACUGACAUGUUGAGAGGUGGGAUGGACAACUUGGCUGGUGCUAUUAACCGACUUUCACCCCUUCCACCUAUUUCUGAGAUCGAGAUAUGGAAUAUGUUGGAGGAGCUGGAUUUGGAGCCUCGUGUGAAUAUAAAGGCUUACAUAUUUCUUUGUCAAAAUGCAAGUGCAUGUCGCAUACUGAUUGGAUGUCUAAGGGAACAACGCAAAAAUCUUUUAUUAGAAAUGUUGCCAAAAUUAAGUUUAGCUUUUAUGUUUUUUUUUUUACUUUAUGGUCCUGUGUAAGAAUUAACUUUGGCCAAGUGCUACUGACCUUAUAUGCAAAUAUUGUAUCUUGAAUGUUGAGCCAAACAUGCUCUGGUAUGAAUGUUGUUCUGGUAUGAAUGUUGCUCUCUGCAUUUGAUUCCUCUGGUAUGAAGGCUUUGAUAGCCUGUUGUAAUAUCUUUUUCUUUUCUUUUUAAUGAAAUGCUUGCAUUUGAAUGCCUUUCACAAUCUUAUGCUUCACACUGCAAGCACUCAUACACAACGAUGUAAAUCUAUAGGAAAUGCAGCAUCCAACAUGAUAUUGGUUGUUAAUUUACUCUUUAGUUAUAGGUAUGUAAAACAGGUGACCGAUCAUCAAUUGAACUCACGCCAAUAUACCCAAAAGUUUCCGCAACUAACCUCAAAGAUACCAUGCAGCUGGUGAGUAGUGUAAUUAUAUAGGAACAAGGGUAGCCCCACUUUUAACCCGCCCAUAUCCGACUCAACCCGCCCGUUUGCCACCCCUAGUAACAACCAAUAGUUAAGAUGUGAAACUUGCGGAAAUGUGGCAGCUCUAAUGUGUGUUUGAUCGUUAACUCAAAAGAGAAAGACGAUUGGAAUUUCUCAGUUGUAUACCUUAAUAAAGCCCUGAAUCAUCAUGGAUAAAGACCCGAAAGCCAGAAUUCUGAUACUCUUCAACUUGUGUUUCUUGGAUAACUCUGGUUUAUUUGACGACAGAUUCGUUACAACGCCAUACCUCAAUGGACAACAGAGAAGAGAUGUCUUCGAAACAAGAAGGGAUCUCCUUAAGAAAUUGACAGCCUUGCAAAACCAAUCGUUCAAGUUGGGGAAAUGCAUCGUAAUCGACACAUCUCCAUUCUUUAAUUCUCUCGAUUAGUUGUAGUUUCAACAAUCUAAGUUGAAGGAACUCACCAUUGCUCACUUUCCAUUCCUCGUUCUCAAAAUGAAUGAGUUGUAGUCUAAGUGCCUGAAGGUUCUGGUGUUAUUGCCCUCACAGAAUCUCUGUAUCUAGGAGGAAGGCCUGCAAGCAAAUGAUUGGAGUCCUAAUCAUCAUCUAUUUAUCAAAUGAUCUUCACUUUUGUCCGUUACAUGGCUAUGUUGUGAUUGUAGUUGAGGAUAGGUGAUACAAAUUCUCAAGAGCAUACUUAGAGAUAGUAACAAAGUCGGAAUUCAUUUUCUUCAAUUGUUGGCUAGUUGCUCUUUUAGCUUCUAUAAUAAAACAAAACAAAAUAGCAUAAAAUUGCUGGUUGUUAACUAAGCAGGUUCACAAAACAUAAAAACUCUGGUUAUCUAAUACCAAACACAAUAGUAAAUUUAUAACAAUUAGAGAUAGUUUAGUAAAUUUACCUGUUAUUAUACAGUACCGUACCAUCAAUUCAAACAAAAAACCUAUUAUUAAAUCGUAGUGAACCAUACCGUCUAUCCAAGCAUGAUAUUAUACUAUAGUAUGCUGUUAUUGACAUAGCUUCACAACACCCAAACUACACACACGACUCCAUCACCUUCCACCACUUCCUCCGCAAACUCUCCCUCUCUUCAAACCCAAAGUUCCUCCCUCACAUAACCCAUAUUGUAAACAUGAUUCAAACUCAGAAAUGCAUAUGCUCUGAAGACGUCGCGUUGACUGUUAUUAAAUGUUAUGCGAAGAAUUCCAUGGUUGAUAAAGAUAUGGGAGUUUUUCAGAAUAUGAAGUAUGUUUUUGGAUGUGUACCUGGUGUUAGGUCAUUUAAUACCUUGCUUAAUGCAUUUGUCAUUUCGAAUCAGGUCAGUAGAGCGGAGUUGUUUUUCAAGUAUUUUCGAACAAUGGAUGUGUGUCCAAAUUUGGAAACUUAUAAUGUUUUAAUUAAGCUUCAUUGUUGAAGGAGGCAGUUUGAUAAGGCGAAAGCAUUGUUGGAUUGGAUGUAGGAGAGUGGGAAAAUGUCUGAUGUGUAUAGUUAUGGAACUUUCAUUAAUGGGCUUGCGAAGGAUGGCUUUUUGGGCGAGGCAUUGAAGGUGUUCGAUGAAAUGUUUGAGAGAGAGUUGUAUCCGGAUGUGACGUGUUAUAAUAUAAUAAUUGAUGGGUUCUUGAAAAAUGGCGAUUAUGAUAGCGGGAGGAAGAUUUAGGAGCGGUUGAUUAGUGGGACGAAUGUUUAUCUUAGCAUGGUUAGUUAUAAUGUGAUGAUUAAUGGUUUAUGUAGAUGUGGUAAGUUUAAUGAAGGAUUGGAACUUUGGAAUAGGAUGAAGAGGAAUGCACAAAAAAUGGACUUGUUUACAUGUUGUGCGUUGAUUCAUGGUUUGUGUGAGUUGGGUAAUGUUAAUGGGGCGGAGAGGAUUUUUAAGAAAAUGAUUGAAACGGGACUAUCACCUGAUGUUGUUGUGUAUGGUGCUUUGCUUAAUGGUUAUUGUAAGGUUGGGGAGAUUAAAAAGUGUUUUGAGUUGUGGGAGGUGAUGGGGAUAGAAGAUUGUCGCAAUGUUACUAGUUAUAAUAUAUUAAUUAGAGGUUUGUUUGAGAAUCGAAUGGUGGAUGAAGCGAUUUCUAUUUGGAAGCUUAUGGGUGAGAAUGGCGUUGUUGCUGAUUCAACAUCUUAAGGAGUUCUAAUUCAUGGGUUGUGUAAGAAUGGGUCUCUGAACAAGGCUUUGAAUGUCUUGCAAGCUGAAAAUGAAGGAGAAAGAUGUGUGGAUUUAUAUGCAUACUCGUCUAUUGUUAAGGGGUUGUGCAGAGAAGGAAGAUUGGAUGAAGCAACUGCAAUGCUUGAUUUGAUGGCUAAACAGGGAUGUACACUAAGUUCUCAUGUUUGCAAUGCACUAAUCAAAGCAUCUAAAGUUCAGGAGGCACUCCGAUUUUUUGGUGAAAUGCAUAGUCAGAAUUGUUCCCCAACAGUAGUAACAUAUAAUGUGCUUAUAGAUGGGUUAUGCAAAGCUGAAAGAUUUGGUGACGCUUAUGAGCUUGUGGAGGAGAUGCUGAAGAAAGGGUGGACGCCGGACAUGAUAACAUAUAGCUUGUUGGUGGAUGGUCUUUGCCGAAGCAAAAUGGUGGACCUGGCCCUGAAGUUGUUGAAUCAAAUUGUUAGCAAGGGAUUGAAGCCUGAUGUGACCAUGGUUAACAUUAUAAUUCAUGGCCUUUGCUCUGUUGGAAAACUUGAGAACACGUUGCAGAUCUUUUUGAGCAUGAGCCAAUGGGAAUGUCUCCCGAAUCUCGUCACAUAUAACACCCUUAUGGAGGGAUUUUAUAAAGCUAGAGACUGCAAAAAUGCUUCAGCAGUUUGGGCUCUCAUUUUAAGAGGUGGGUUUCAGCCUGAUAUUAGUUCUUAUAAUAUUACUCUAAAGGGGCUUGCUUCUUGCCAUAGAAUGUCAGAUGCCAUAUUAUUCUUUAAUGAUGCUCGUAAAAGGAAAAUCCAUCCAACUGCAGUUACAUGGAAUAUACUUGUUAGAGCAGUUAUUUGUGGCUGAACUCUAAGACGAUUUUCAUGGAGUACACACCUAGUGGGUUUUAGAUACUAAUUUUCUACCCCGAGCAGGAAAUUCAACUGCAAUUAGUUAAAUACACUUAUCUGAUCUCUAAGUUCAUUGGUUUCAAUCCCCCACUUCAAAAUUAUCAGGUCCGAAUCUCCUUUCUCUUGCUUUUUCAGUAACCUAGAUUUGCUUUCUUGCAAAUGUAAUCUCACAAUGUACUAAGAGAAGCAUAUCUUCAUGGUUGCAGGCCUACCAUUAUUACUCUCACUAUCAAGCCAAGUUUCGCGGACCUGUAUAUGAUAGUUUUUGUUUUAAGUUAUAAGUAUGCUCUCUACUCACAUCAGGUGAGCAGAUGAUUUUGCAUUUUUGCGAAAUGGGAUAUCCAAUUAGAAGCACCAUGCUCUGCUAAUCAUGUGUGGUUGAUACAGGUUGAAUGGUAACCUAUGUGAUUGAGACUCUAAAAUACUGGAUUUUGAAGGAAUUAUGCCGCCAACUCAAUUCUAGCUGAGUGGUAGUGAAAUCUUUCCUACCUCUCCUAUCUACUGAUAAGCUUGAUUAUGCUUUUGCUUAGUAAAGUGCUAAACUUUAUUCCGUAUAUAUUUCUGGUGCAGAAAAAUGAGAGGACAGUAGAGGCGACAGGGAUGUCCAUGCAAAAAAGUUGGGCUGCUUAUUGGGAUGAGAUAUUCUGAAGGUUAAGUUAUUGCUACUGUCCUUAGAUUUCUUUUGCUAACUACAUACUCCCUCCCUCCAUAUUAGUUGUCCACCUUACUGUAAAUACUUGUGCCAAAUUACUUGUCCAUUUACUAAAUCAAGACAAGAUUAAUUAAAAUUUUCCCAAUUUAGAUUUUUCAAUUACUAUUUUUUGAAAGCCUAAUUUAGAUUUUUCAAUUACUAUUUUUUGAAAGCCUAAACAAGUUUAUGAGUUUCAAAAGGCUUCAAUUUCGAAGGAGUGGAUAAAGGGCAAAGUAGUAGAACUACCCAUCUUAUUUAUGAUUUUUUAAGGAGCGUGUAAAGUGGAAAGCAGCCAACUAAUAUGGGGUGGAGAGAAUAUUUGGGUAAAAGGAACAAAAAUAUCAUCAAAAGAAUUGAUUAUGGGUACGGUAGAAUCAAGCCUAUUUCCUGCCGCGAAGGGGGG
rnacentral:lncRNA from 1 species